UGGGGAAUCUUGGACAAUGGGCGAAAGCCUGAUCCAGCCAUGCCGCGUGCAGGAUGAAGGCCUUCGGGUUGUAAACUGCUUUUGUACGGAACGAAAAGACUCUGGUUAAUACCUGGGGUCCAUGACGGUACCGUAAGAAUAAGCACCGGCUAACUACGUGCCAGCAGCCGCGGUAAUACGUAGGGUGCAAGCGUUAAUCGGAAUUACUGGGCGUAAAGCGUGCGCAGGCGGUUAUAUAAGACAGAUGUGAAAUCCCCGGGCUCAACCUGGGAACUGCAUUUGUGACUGUAUAGCUAGAGUACGGCAGAGGGGGAUGGAAUUCCGCGUGUAGCAGUGAAAUGCGUAGAUAUGCGGAGGAACACCGAUGGCGAAGGCAAUCCCCUGGGCCUGUACUGACGCUCAUGCACGAAAGCGUGGGGAGCAAACAGGAUUAGAUACCCUGGUAGUCCACGCCCUAAACGAUGUCAACUGGUUGUUGGGUCUUCACUGACUCAGUAACGAAGCUAACGCGUGAAGUUGACCGCCUGGGGAGUACGGCCGCAAGGUUG
rnacentral:rRNA from 1 species